CUAAAGUAGAUGGCCUUGAAAUGUGACUGAUAUUAGCCCUAUUCUAGAUAAACCUUUUGUCAUUUGCCAGUGUUCAACUUUUUCAUUGAUAUGAUAUAGAUAUUAGCCACACUUGAGAUAUAUUUAGUAUAGAUUUAUUAAAUGAUAUGGAAAUAGUCAAGGGAGUACCAAAAUUGGGUGUUAAAAAGCCCCAGAAAUUGAGGAGAUGAUGUCCCUUCGGAUUCUUCCAUGUAGCUGACAAAAUGCUGUUUUUCUCGGUUCCCCGUAAAGUUGGGUGUUCACCUUAUGCCCCAGCUAGAGAAAUAGUCUCAAUGAUCCAGUCAAGUUCUUAAAAAUAAUAUUUUAUCAUUAACAUAUUACUUUCUCUAUAUCCAAAUAUACUUUUAUUGUUUCUUUAGAGUUAAUAGUAUCUAAAUAUUUGGUAUAAAUAUCUGAAUUUUUUCAGUUUAUACAAAAUUAGCAUGCUUUAUGUUCCUUUAUAAAGAAAAUUCUAGAUAAAGUAUAAUUUUUUAUCAGCUGUUUUGAAAUCCUUUUUCUAAGACCUAUUUUUUUAGGUUCCAUAUAGCAAUAGCUUAAUUUUGUUUGAUCAUUUUCAUCUAAUUAAAGUUCUGUAGAUCAUCUUGCAAAAAGUAAACAAACCAAUUUUAUAUUUCAUGUGAAACCUAGAACACUAAUUGGUAUAUAUGUAUAAAACUACCCUGACAAGGACAAUCCAUUACCAAUUUUUAAUAUGAAAAUUAAUUGACAAUCUUAUUGCUUAUGAAAGAAAUUAUUAACUUAGUAAGUAGUAAAUUCUAAGAGAUCACAGAAAUAAUCUUGCAUAGAAGGAAUGCAAAAACAGUGGCUUAAAGAUUUAUGUUAACGUAUUAUUUAUUAAGAAGCCACAACUGUUAGUUGUUUUGUUUCUGUUUUAAAGAAAAUUGAUUAUAAGAUAUAUUCAUGAAACAAAUAUAUUUAUAUGUAUAUAUAUAUUGCAAAAUUGUGGGCCUAUUAAAUUAUUCAUAUUUUCUUUCUCACAAAGAAUUUAAAUUGCUAAAAAGAAAACAUUUGGGUGUUUAAUCUGCCAUUACUGUAUAUCUAGAAAUUAUAGUUCUAAAGAAUAAUUGUCUGUUUGAAUUACCAGAAUACAAUCCAUUUUAAUUAUUUUUUCUCAAACAAUAGCAAAUGAGAAUUUCUUAAUUUUAAGAUGAAUGACUUUCACUAGUAGUUUGUUCCAGAUUUUGUCCAUAGUUUCAUUACAUGUUUUACAUUUUUCUGUAAAGUUUGUAGCCAUUUUACAAAUAACGUCAUAAUAUUUUUCAUAUUUAUAUACAAGCCUGGUUGAAAAGAGAUUUUCCUUACUUUUUCAAUGAUAAGGAAAAUACUUAUGUAAUUUUAUUUUUUAACUUUUUCUACAUUUCAUUAGUCAUAUUAUUAACUUUGGUAUUCAUAAAACUAUGUGGAGGAAACCAUUUUAAAUAUAUUUUUGGAAAGAGGCAUGUAGAAAUAAAAUAGAAAAUAUUAAUAUUCUUUUGUAGAAAUGCCUAAAAGAAAAGUGGAAGGGAAAAAAUAAUUCUGUUGAGACAAAAAUGUUGAAAAAUCAGGAGUGUUUAAGACCUUAAUUUCUUCCAUUUUUAGAGUACUCUUCUUAUUUCCAAAUGAUUAUUUCAUGCUGUUGGUUCUGUGAAUUGUGCUUUUUACAUAAUAUAUAAUUCCCCCCCAACAUUUUAGUGUCUAUACAUUCAUGUCUGAAAAAUAAAGAAGAAACUAGUGAAUAAAAGUCAGAGAAACUGGGUGUAUUACCAUUUUCCAAUAGCACUAAUGUAUAGACCCUUGAACCUUCCGUAUGGUGCUUUGUGUGAUGAGAGUAUAAAACAUUUAUAUAUAUAUAUAUAUAUAUGUUAUUAGUGCCUUAUUUUUUUCACUUGACUUUAUUUCUUAUCUAAAGAGCCAUAUAUUCUUUGUGAGUGUUCCUUUGUCCUCUUUUUAAAGUGCUGAUGAGACCAUGUAUCUUUAGGUAUAUAUACGUAGGCAUCUAUUACCUUCAUUCACUAUAGUCUCUCUAGAACAGCAGGUUAGCCAACAUAGUUUUCUUACAAUUCAUUGUUCAUUUUUAAGCUAAAGUAUCAAAAAAGAUCUUAAGCACCAUAAAUUGAAGCCAUUAUAAUUGAAUUGUAUUUUUAAACUACCAUAAAGAAUGCCCAUUUUUAAAGUUUAAAGCGAAUUGGAAUGGCCAUCAGUCUUCAUCUAUAGCUCCAAUUAGGACAAAAUUUACUUUUUACAAAAAGCAUUAAAUAUAAAAAUAAUUAUAUGGUACUUUGGGAUUUUGACCAGUUCCCUGCCAUUUGUCUUUGGUAAUAUUUUAUCUGUAUUCUACUUCCACACAGAUGUUAGAGAACAAAGGUGUUUGCCAUUGACCUGGAGUGUUUCAUUCACAGUGGGCUUUAUCAAUAUUGAGACAUUUUGUACAAUAUAUUAUCUUGCUCUUCUUGGUCUUUGCCUUUUGUGUUAGUUUUAUACAAAAAGAUGGUUUUGUUGUAUUCUUCAUGUACCAUAGUAUGUAAUUCAGCAUUUCCUGAUGAAUGUAUAAUGGAUAAUUAAAAUAAAUCAUUUGCUUAGAAAAGACAAAGACACAGGUUGUAUAUGCAAAUAUGUGUAAAUAUUUGACAAAGAAAAAGAAAGGAAAAGAAUCUUCCUGCCAACAGAUAUGUCCUGCUGGACAGGACGUGGAAAUUAACAGAUUUUUUUUUAAGCCGUGAAAUUUAAAAAUCUAUUACCUCAAGAAUUUUCAGUGGAUAUGUAUCAGUGUACUGCACCUUAUCAGUAAACACAGUCCCAGUUGCUGCUGGCAGUAAAAGCAACCCAAGUGUCAGAUCACACAAAUUAUAGGGGCAUGUCUUUCAAAAGAUGGAUAACGUGUGCUAUUUUGGAGUCCAAUUUCUAUAACAUCCCUCUGGCUUUUGGUUGUGGUUGGGCUUCUAUUUUUUAAUUGUUUUUGGUUGAUUGUUUUAGGACAGAAGGGUAAUCUUAAUUAUGAGAUGAGAUCUCAUGGAGGAUUGUAACAAUAUUCACUCUACUUGGAUGCAACCUAUAGUGGAAACAACUACUUUGACUGUCACUGUAUGAAUUGUAUGGAUUCCUGUGGAGGGCUGUUUACUCGCAUGAUGUGUGCAAGACCUCAUGCAGCAUCAUCUAGCAAUGCCUAAUAAAAGUUUUCAAAAUAGAAGACUCUUGGGUUUUGUUUUUUUUCCCAAUAGAUUUGGAAUUUAAAGAAACUAAAAGGUAAAAUUUGGCAGUGGCAAAAUCACAUGUACGUAAGUAAAUUUGGGCAGUUACUGAAGUUGCUUCUGUGCUAGAUUCUGCAUAUGGAGAAGCAGGAGUGAAGAGAAAUUCAUGAGUGUGUUUUUUGGAAGGUGGAUUUUUUGUGUUGCUGGAGCAAGUUUUGUGAAAAGUGCACAGAGCAAUGACGAUCAUUCUGCAUGGAGUGUAAUAAAGAAGCAAGUAGUAUGGAAACAAUUUGGCUUAGGAUGGUGAUUGCUCUUUAGGCAAAAGGGGCUCGUCUGGAUUGGGAAAAGUAGAAAACACUAAACCAUUAAAGCUAAAUAUGGAGUUCCCGUCGUGGCGCAGUGGUUAAGGAAUCCAACUAGGAACCAUGAGGUUGCGGGUCCCGUCCCUGCCCUUGCUCAGUGGGUUAACGAUCUGGCAUUGCCGUGAUCUGUGGUGUAGGUUACAGAUGUGGCUCGGAUCCCGCGUUGCUGUGGCUCUGGCGUAGGCCAGAGACUACAGCUCCGAUUGGACACCUAGCCUGAGAACCUCCAUAUGCCACAGGAGCGGCCCAAGAAAUAGCAAAAACACACACACAAAAAAAAAAAGCUAAAUAUAUAUGUCUUCCCUUAAACCUAGCAAUUCUUUUCCUAGGUCUGCAAUUAGGGAAACAGGGCAUUUGUUGGACAAAGGACAUGUAUAAGAAUUCUUAUUAACAGUAAGGUAGAUAAGAAGGGGGCUUGGGAUGGAAAUGCUAUAAAAUUGGUUGUGAUUAUCACUGUACAACUAUAAAUGUAAUAAAAUUCAUUGAGUCAAAAAAAUUUAAAAA
rnacentral:lncRNA from 1 species